rnacentral:tRNA from 2 species
GCGGGAAUAGCUCAGUUGGUAGAGCCCCGGAUUGUGAUUCCGGUUGUCGCGGGUUCAAAUCCCGUUUCUCGCCCCA